rnacentral:rRNA from 1 species
UACGGAGGGUGCAAGCGUUAUCCGGAUUCACUGGGUUUAAAGGGUGCGUAGGUGGGCUAGUAAGUCCGUGGUGAAAUCUCCAAGCUUAACUUGGAAACUGCCGUGGAUACUAUUAGUCUUGAAUAUUGUGGAGGUAAGCGGAAUAUGUCAUGUAGCGGUGAAAUGCUUAGAUAUGACAUAGAACACCGAUAGCGAAGGCAGCUUGCUACACAAUCAUUGACACUGAGGCACGAAAGCGUGGGGAUCAAACGGG